rnacentral:rRNA from 2 species
AGGGGAGGAAAAGAAACCAACAGGGAUUGCCUCAGUAACGGCGAGUGAAGCGGCAAAAGCUCAAAUUUGAAAUCUGGAGCCUUCGGCUUCCGAGUUGUAAUUUGAAGAGGGUGUUUCGGUUGCAGCCUUGGCCUAAGUUCCUUGGAACAGGACGUCAUGGAGGGUGAGAAUCCCGUACAUGGCUGAAGGCUUGCUUCCAUGUGAAACCCCUUCGAAGAGUCGAGUUGUUUGGGAAUGCAGCUCAAAAUGGGUGGUAAAUUUCAUCUAAAGCUAAAUAUUGGCGGGAGACCGAUAGCGCACAAGUAGAGUGAUCGAAAGAUGAAAAGCACUUUGAAAAGAGAGUUAAACAGUACGUGAAAUUGUUGAAAGGGAAGCGCUUGCAAUCAGACUCGCUUUCGGUUGAUCAGCGACGCCUUCUGGCGCGUGCACUCUGCCGUUUGCGGGCCAGCAUCAGUUGGAGCGGUGGGACAAAGACGGCAGGAAUGUGGCUCCCCUCGGGGAGUGUUAUAGCCUGUCGUGCCAUGCCACCAGCACCGACUGAGGUCCGCGGUUCGCCUAGGAUGCUGGCUUAAUGGUUGUAAGCGACCCGUCUUGAAACACGGACCAAGGAGUCUAACAUCUAUGCGAGUCUUUGGGUGUCAAACCCAUAGGCGUAAUGAAAGUGAACGGAGGUGGGAGUUUCGACGCACCAUCGACCGAUCCUGAUGUUCUCGGAUGGAUUUGAGUAGGAGCAUAGCUGUUGGGACCCGAAAGAUGGUGAACUAUGCCUGAAUAGGGUGAAGCCAGAGGAAACUCUGGUGGAGGCUCGCAGCGGUUCUGACGUGCAAAUCGAUCGUCAAAUUUGGGUAUAGGGGCGAAAGACUAAUCGAACCAUCUAGUAGCUG